AUUGAACGCUGGCGGCAGGCUUAACACAUGCAAGUCGAGCGGAGUGACGGUGCUUGCACUAUCACUUAGCGGCGGACGGGUGAGUAAUGCUUAGGAAUCUGCCUAUUAGUGGGGGACAACAUCUCGAAAGGGAUGCUAAUACCGCAUACGUCCUACGGGAGAAAGCAGGGGAUCACUUGUGACCUUGCGCUAAUAGAUGAGCCUAAGUCGGAUUAGCUAGUUGGUGGGGUAAAGGCCUACCAAGGCGACGAUCUGUAGCGGGUCUGAGAGGAUGAUCCGCCAGACUGGGACUGAGAAACGGACCAGACUCCUACGGGAGGCAGCAGUGGGGAAUAUGGGAGAAUGGGGGGAACCCUGAUCCAGCCAUGCCGCGUGUGUGAAGAAGGCCUUAUGGUUGUAAAGCACUUUAAGCGAGGAGGAGGCUCUUUUGGUUAAUACCCAAGAUGAGUGGACGUUACUCGCAGAAUAAGCACCGGCUAACUCUGUGCCAGCCGCCGCCGUAAGAC
rnacentral:rRNA from 1 species